UGCUCAAUGAUUAAGCCAUGCUAUGCCCCAUGGCAGUACACGCUAUUCUGAAUCAUAUUAAGAUGCCAUAAACAUUAUGAGAGCA
rnacentral:snoRNA from 1 species